rnacentral:rRNA from 1 species
UACGAAGGGGGCUAGCGUUGUUCGGAAUUACUGGGCGUAAAGCGCGCGCAGGCGGUUUCUCAAGUCAGUGGUGAAAGCCCGGAGCUCAACUCCGGAACUGCCAUUGAAACUGUGAGACUUGAGGACGAGAGAGGUGAGUGGAAUUCCCAGUGUAGAGGUGAAAUUCGUAGAUAUUGGGAGGAACACCUGUGGCGAAAGCGGCUCACUGGACCACAACUGACGCUGAGGCGCGAAAGCUAGGGGAGCAAACAGG